GGGCCUAUGGCGCAAUUGGUAGCGCGUAGUAAGUUGACCUUGAAUCAUAACGAUCUCAAAAACAUCAUCUAACAGUUCCUCCGCAGCGACUCCAGAUCGUAAGGUUGUCCGAUCGAGCCGGGCUGGGCUCA